rnacentral:lncRNA from 1 species
UCUUUCUUCUGCUUCUACCUGUAUUUACCUCCUAUUGCUAAAUAAUAUGGUUGUACAGCUAUUCAUCAUUUUCCAGAUUUAGUUAUUAUGCAUUUUCUGUGAUAGAAUAUGGCAACCUAGGUCUCUUAUACCUCUCCCACACACGUACACAUCUUCUCCCUUCAUUUCCUGAAAAAAAGGUUAUAUCACAGUAUUUCACUCCAGCAGCACCCCCUUAUCUGUGGGAGUUGCAUUCCAAGACCCUGAAUACGAAUAGCACCAAACCCAAAUAGUACCAAACCCGAUUGCUGUCAAUUGGAACACAUUUCUGUUCAUGUCUUCCACCCACAAAUUUAAUACCUUUUCAUCUUAACUAAGUGUUUAUCACACACCGUGGGGUGUAAUAAAUAAUUUUUGCAGCUUGUGGUGCAACAGCAAAACUAGCACAAAUUUCUUUUGCCUUCUUCACAAUUUUACAGAUGGAUUUGUUCUUACUGUAGAUCUUAGCAACUUCAGCAUGUGUUUUUUUUCUUUCCUUAUUAAGUCAAGAACUUUCACAUUUUCUGUUAGAGGAAGCACUUUACAGCUUCUCUUUGGUGUAUCUUAUUUGCCAGCAUCACUACUCUUAUGCUUUGGGGACAUUAGUAAGUAAAAUAAGAGUGACUUUAACACAAGCACUGUUAUACCACAACAGUUGAUCUGAGCAACUGGAUGAUGACUAAGUGACUCAUGGGUGGGUAGCAUAUACAUUGUGGAUCCACUGGAGAAAUCUCACACCAGCACAUGUUUUAAAACUUAAGAAUUAUUUCUGGAAUUUUCCAUUUAAUAUUUUCAGACUGGCUGGCUGUAACUGAACUGCAGAAAGCAAAACCACAGAUAAUGGGAGACUAUUAUAUUCACAUUAUCCUCUAUGUAAAUAUUAUUCACAGCUGAGCCAUGUAGUGUACUGUGGUUAUAUUUCCUCUCUAAUACAAAAGUUUCUUUUCCUCUAGCACUUAAAAACUGUAUUGCGUUUUUACUUGCUUAUUUUUCUAUGUAUUUACGACUAGUUUAUCUCAAUCUCUGCAAGAGAAAUCUAAAUCCCUCUCAAUGUGUAUGAAUCAAUUAAUUUCUUCUUUUUCUGGGAGACAUCUCUCCUAGAGUCCUUUAAGAGUCCUGCUCCAACAUGAAUGACUUGCUUUCUAAGCCUGCUACACACCAACAUCCUGGGAAUUCUCUUCACUUUCUCCUGCGUUGGAUUCCUUGUUUCCCAGCUACUGUGUUUUCCUCUAUCUUGGUUUAAUCUCUUAUUUUGGAGGAUCUUUUAUACUCAAAAGGUCUCUAUCUACUCUCACAUUUAUUUGUUGGUGCCUUUCAUGUUACGGCCUUUCCCUCAAAUGUAUUGUGUUCAUUGACUACUUUUCAUAAUUAAGAAUGAGGCUCUGACAGGUUGACCAAAUGCUGUGAGUGGAAGGGAUUUGUUGCAUUGUGGGCUUCAUCGUCAGGUGAGUAAUAGGGCAGACACGCAGCUUUUGUGUUGAAGGAUCCUCAACUAUUUGUAUCUGUCAGCCUUUUUUUCAGAUUAUGCAGUUUCCCCAUAGGAGGAUCCUCCAGGGUCCUGUCUUGACAGGGUUUGAGUCUGUCUGUCAUCAUUCUGGUAGCUAAAUAAGGAAAGGGUACUGGGAUUUUUGUUUAGUAUGAUGACUGACUUAGUCCC